ensembl:snoRNA
ACCCUUUUGUAGUUCAUAAGCAGGAUAACUGGGUUUUCAUGCUCUUGUGUGAGAUGCGCCUCGCUCAAUGUUGGCACAUUACCUGUCUGAUG